UGCUUGCCUAUUGAGAUCCAAUGGCAUCCCGACCUCCAAAGAUGGAAGAUAAUAAACUCCUGAUGUUUCAAGCCCCUAAGUUUAUGGUAAUUUUUGCAGCAGCAUGGGGAACUACGUAGAUGAAAAUUCAGAGAACUAGAUCUGACUAUAACAUUGAUUAGCUGAGAUCAUUCUGUGUCACUCCUUGUCAUUAAGUGAUCUCUUAUAUUUAAAUUAAAAGAAAGUGAUUCUCUUUUACAUUAUGCACUCAAUUUUAGCAAUCAAAGGGCAUGCAAAAUUCAUUCAUUAUCAAAAUAUAUCAACACAUUUGCUGAGUGUCAGCCACUGCUCAUUCAUUCCCCCCUCACUUAUUUUUAUAAAUUUUUGAGACAUGACUUCAUUUCCUCUCCUAUUAUUGUCACUUGGAAGGAAAGGCCCUAGACAGAUUAUGUAGAAGGCUGUGCCACAUAAAGAAUGUAUCUGCAACCAGACAGACGAGGGCUCAGAAUCUAAAUUCCCAGCUUCCUAUCAAAAUGAUUUUAGCUUUGUGAUAAUUUGUUUUCACUUGGUAUAGAAAAUUGUUCUUGGAUGACUGAAAUGAUAAAUAAAAUGCCCCACUUACAGUUUUUUGGCUUAUGAUAUGCUUUUAUUUAUUUAAAUACUAAUAAAUAGUCAAUGUAAAUUCCUGGGAAACCAUGGGUAAAAAAUAAUUUGAGAGACAGAUAGUGGAAGUACUGUCAGACUUCAAGUUACACCAGGGAACCAGCUACUUAGUUCUGCUUACUUGGGUAGGAAAAACCUACUGCAACUUGCCUACACAUUUUAAUUCCUUUGUAUCAUUCAUAUGUGUGUGUGUAUAUAUAUAUAUAUAUAUAUAUAUAUAUAUAUAUAUAUACAUACAUAUAUAUAUAUAUAUAUAUAUAUAUGCGUGUGUGUGUAUGUGUGUAAUGACAAACUAGUUUAUAAUAGUUGAAAAUUCUGUUUCUAGGGUAGGAAAAAAUGGUGUGAGUUUAUGAUAUAUUAGGAAAGACGUUGUUGAGCUUGCAUAGUCUCAUUUUAAAUGAUGACCUAAAUGAUUUUUAAAGCUAUUAUUUUUAAACUCAAAUACCCCAAAAGUUAAAAGUAACCUAAGUCAUAUCUUAAUUUGGAGGCUGUCAUGGGUUUUAAAUGGUAUAUUGGGAUUGUGUUUCUUUAAAUACUAGCUAUAAAAGCUAUUUUGUAUUGUCAGAAAGAUAUUUUGUUGUCAAUUCUGUUCCAUGUCAAGGCAGCCCUUUCCUGCAUUUGAGUUUAAGACCUAUAAAGUAUUCCCUCGUUACCAAGAUUUAGACAAAGAAUUUUCUGAAUGUUUUGAAAACUGUGUUUAAGACACAAAGGUCUGGAUUCUCCUUUGUGUAUGUGUGCUAUUUUUUCCUCUGCAGAAUAAAGCAAAGAUGCAUGGAAUGCAGACAGUAGCAAUAUUUCAUGUUUUAUUAAUAAUGGCAAAUUAGUGUCUAUUUACCACUUUUUCUAAAUUCAAACAUCAUUUUAGAUUCUCUUUAUAUUUCAUCUUGAACAACAUAUCAACUGUAUCAUUUGCCUUUACUAUAGACUGACAGGCAUUUUGUUUUUUUAUUUCCUUCCCCAAAUGUUCUGAGGUUUUCUAAUACUAUUUUAUGAAAUGGUGAUGUCUGGCCUUCCUAUCAAAAAAUUAGGUUUUAUUCAGCAUACAUUAGUUGAGUCUUGCCUCUUUUGGUCUCCUCCUAUUUGUUUCAAGCCCUGAAACAACUCCCAGAUCUCUGCUCUCAGAAGUUCUCAGAAAAUAAUUAUUCUAACAUUGAGACAGGCUUUACGGUAGACUCUAUGAAUCCUCUGUAGCUGAGCUUCUAUGUGUUCUGCAUUGUUCUGCUGUUGCAUGGUGAGUUCCCCGUCCCCCAGGUUAUAGUAAUUUUAUUCUCAUAUCUCUUUAAAAGAUUAUGGCACAAUAUAUAAUCAUAUAGUUAUCACUAAUGGUAAAUUAAAAGAAAGUUGCUAAGGUUGUUAUCUUAAAAAGCUGCUUGUUAGGUGAAUUCAAGGCCAGCCUUAUCUACAAAGUAAGUUUUAGGACAUCCAGGACUACACAGAGAAAUCCUAUUUCAAAAACAAACAAGCAAACAAGU
rnacentral:lncRNA from 1 species